GAUGAACGCUAGCGGCAGGCCUAAUACAUGCAAGUCGAGGGGCGGCGCGGUAGCAAUACUGGCGGCGACCGGCGCACGGGUGCGUAACACGUAUGCAACCUACCUUCAACUGGAGGAUAGCCCGGGGAAACUCGGAUUAAUACUCCAUAACACAGGGAUCCCGCAUGGGAAUAUUGUUAAAGCUACGGCGGUUGAAGAUGGGCAUGCGUUCGAUUAGCUAGUUGGUGUAGGUAACGGCUCACCAAGGCUACGAUCGAUAGGGGGUCUGAGAGGAUGAUCCCCCACACUGGUACUGAGAUACGGACCAGACUCCUACGGGAGGCAGCAGUAGGGAAUAUUGGUCAAUGGGCGCAAGCCUGAACCAGCCAUGCCGCGUGCAGGAAGAAGGCCCUCUGGGUUGUAAACUGCUUUUGAUAGGGAACAAAUGCCACUUGCGAGUGGAGCUGAGUGUACCUAUAGAAUAAGCACCGGCUAACUCCGUGCCAGCAGCCGCGGUAAU
rnacentral:rRNA from 1 species